UACGUAGGUGGCAAGCGUUAUCCGGAAUUAUUGGGCGUAAAGAGCGCGCAGGUGGUUGAUUAAGUCUGAGGUGAAAGCCCACGGCUUAACCGUGGAGGGUCAUUGGAAACUGGUCGACUUGAGUGCAGAAGAGGGAAGUGGAAUUCCAUGUGUAGCAGUGAAAUGCGUAGAGAUAUGGAGGAACACCAGUGGCGAAGGCGGCUUCCUGGUCUGUAACUGACACUGAGGCGCGAAAGCGUGGGGAGCAAACAGGAUUAGAUACCCGGGUA
rnacentral:rRNA from 1 species